rnacentral:rRNA from 1 species
GGACUACAAGGGUUUCUAAUCCCAUUCGCUCCCCUAGCUUUCGUUCCUCAGCGUCAGUUACAGCCCAGCAAGCCGCUUGCGCCACCGGUGUUCUUCCCAAUAUCUACGCAUUUCACCGCUACACUGGGAAUUCCGCUUGCCUCUACUGCACUCCAGUCAACCAGUAUCCAAUGCGAUACACGAGUUGGGCCCGUGCCUUUUACAUCAGACUUAAUCAACCGCCUACGAACUCUUUACGCCCAAUAAAUCCGGACAACGCUCGCAUCCUACGUCUUACCGCGGCUGCUGGCAC